rnacentral:rRNA from 1 species
UACGUAGGUGGCAAGCGUUGUCCGGAUUUACUGGGCGUAAAGAGCGCGCAGGCGGUCGGAUAAGUCGAAUGUGAAAGCCCCCGGCUCAACUGGGGAGGGUCAUUCGAUACUGUUCGACUCGAAGGCAGGAGAGGGAAGCGGAAUUCCCGGUGUAGUGGUGAAAUGCGUAGAUAUCGGGAGGAACACCAGUGGCGAAGGCGAC